rnacentral:rRNA from 1 species
AGAGUUUGAUCCUGGCUCAGAAUGAACGUUGGCGGCGUGGAUUAGGCAUGCAAGUCGUACGCCCCGCGAGGGGCGUGGCGCAAGGGUGAGUAAGGCGACGGUAACCAACCCCACGGCCAGGCAUAGCCGCGGGAAACUGCGGGUAAUACCUGGCGCCGUGACGGGGGGGCAUCCCCCGGUCACGAAAGGUGUGACUCCGCCGUGGGACGGGCCGUCGUGGUAUCAGGUAGUUGGCGGGGUGACGGCCCACCAAGCCUGGGACGCCUACCGGGCGUGCGAGCGUGGCCCGGCACACUGGGACUGAGCCACUGCCCAGACGCCUACGGGUGGCGGCAGUCGAGAAUCUUCGGCAAUGGGCGCAAGCCUGACCGAGCGACGCCGCGUGGAGGACGAAGGCCCUCGGGUUGUAAACUCCUGUCGAGGGGGAACAAGGGGCGGCGCAGAGCCGCCCUUGAGUGAUCCCUGGAGGAAGCACGGGCUAAGUUCGUGCCAGCCGCCGCGGUAAUUC